rnacentral:rRNA from 1 species
UACGUAGGGUGCGAGCGUUGUCCGGAAUUACUGGGCGUAAAGAGCUCGUAGGUGGUUUGUCACGUCGUCUGUGAAAUUCCGGGGCUUAACCUCGGGCGUGCAGGCGAUACGGGCAAUACUUGAGUGCUGUAGGGGAGACUGGAAUUCCUGGUGUAGCGGUGAAAUGCGCAGAUAUCAGGAGGAACACCAAUGGCGAAGGCAGGUCUCUGGGCUGUUACUGACGCUGAGGAGCGAAAGCAUGGGUAGCGAACAGGAUUAGA